CCUACGGGCAGCUGCAGUGGGGAAUAUUGGACAAUGGGGGGAACCCUGAUCCAGCCAUGCCGCGUGUGUGAAGAAGGCCCUCGGGUUGUAAAGCACUUUCAGUGAGGAAGAACGCCUGGUGGUUAAUACCCAUCAGGAAAGACAUCACUCACAGAAGAAGCACCGGCUAACUCCGUGCCAGCAGCCGCGGUAAUACGGAGGGUGCGAGCGUUAAUCGGAAUUACUGGGCGUAAAGCGCGCGUAGGUGGCUUGAUAAGCCGGUUGUGAAAGCCCCGGGCUCAACCUGGAACGGCAUCCGGAACUGUCAAGCUAGAGUGCAGGAGAGGAAGGUAGAAUUCCCGGUGUAGCGGUGAAAUGCGUAGAGAUCGGGAGGAAUACCAGUGGCGAAGGCGGCCUUCUGGACUGACACUGACACUGAGGUGCGAAAGCGUGGGUAGCAAACAGGAUUAGAUAUCCGUGUAGUC
rnacentral:rRNA from 1 species